rnacentral:rRNA from 1 species
UAAGCAUAUCAGUAAGCGGAGGAAAAGAAACUAACUAGGAUUU